GACGAACGCUGGCGGCGUGCUUAACACAUGCAAGUCGAGCGGUAAGGCUCCUUCGGGAGUACACGAGCGGCGAACGGGUGAGUAACACGUGAGCAAUCUGCCCUUCACUUUGGGAUAAGCACCGGAAACGGUGUCUAAUACCGAAUACGACCACUUCCGGCAUCGGAUGGUGGUGGAAAGUUCCGGCGGUGAAGGAUGAGCUCGCGGCCUAUCAGCUUGUUGGUGGGGUAACGGCCCACCAAGGCUUCGACGGGUAGCCGGCCUGAGAGGGUGACCGGCAACCCUGGGACUGAGACACGGCCCAGACUCCUACGGGAGGCAGCAGUGGGGAAUAUUGGACAAUGGGCGAAAGCCUGAUCCAGCAACGCCGCGUGAGGGAUGACUGCCUUCGGGUUGUAAACCUCUUUCAGCAGGGACGAAGCGAAAGUGACGGUACCUGCAGAAGAAGCACCGGCCAACUACGUGCCAGCCGCCGCGGUAACAC
rnacentral:rRNA from 1 species